GGGGGGAUAUUGCACAAUGGGCGAAAGCCUGAUGCAGCGACGCCGCGUGGGGGAUGAAGGCUUUCGGGUUGUAAACCUCUUUCGCUAUCGAACAAGGCCCGCUUAGGGUGGGUUGAGGGUAGGUGGAGAAGAAGCGCCGGCUAACUACGUGCCAGCAGCCGCGGUAAUACGUAGGGCGCGAGCGUUGUCCGGAAUUAUUGGGCGUAAAGGGCUUGUAGGCGGCUUGUUGCGCCGGCUGUGAAAACGCGGGGCUUAACUUCGCGCGUGCAGUGGGUACGGGCGGGCGUGAGUGUGGUAGGGGUGACUGGAAUUCCAGGUGUAGCGGUGGAAUGCGCAGAUAUCUGGAGGAACACCGAUGGCGAAGGCGGGUCACUGGGCCAUUACUGACGCUGAGGAGCGAAAGCAUGGGUAGCGAAAAGG
rnacentral:rRNA from 1 species